ACUUCCACUUAGUGAACAGUAAACCACCACCAAGCCGUACAGGUAAUAAGCUCAUCUGUGGGGUAUGUGAGUAUCUGUGUGUGAAAAUCUAAGAACGGUAGGGACAACCACCAUCUGAGACAUGUCUGUGUCAUCACCAUCAUCACUGCCUAUGUAUUCACCAUAAAGAACGUCGUGUGUCCAUGACCUGCAUGGAAGUGGAUAGCCUAUGCUUAUGUAGGCAUAAGCAAUGCUGCUUCUCCACUGGAUGGCCUGAAAUAUCAAAAGAUCGUUCUAUGCUGCAGACAGUGAACAAAAUCAAUUGCGGAAAAUGAUUCUACUACCGAAGGAUGCAUGCUACAGGUCUUCUCUCUUGGUGUCUCCAACCUAAGCCUGCAAAUAUCUUUAAGGGGCUCCCAUUUAAAUGCAAAACACUGGGCCUGCAGAAGGUUUUCUGGCUCAAGUAUCAAUCCCUGAUAUUGCCAUCUGGGACCAAGUACUGAGUUCCUGUCUCAAAAUUCAAAGACAGACACAGCCGAGACCCUUCAUAAAGGGGUAGGAGUAAAGCAAGCGCUCCGAGACCUCUAGGGAGGUUGGUGAUUAACUGGCCAACACCAUGAAGAUGGUCCAACCUAAAAAAGGAGUCCUUGUUAUCCCAGCCUUCGUUAUUCAAGUCGUCUGCUACAAGAACACACAGAAAAGCAAAAGUUGUGCUAACAAAAACAAUCAUUAAUGAACUGACCAUUCAAACUGUCCCUGGUUAUCCCGAGCCUCUAUGUCCACCCAUCAACCCCUUUCUUUCUCUCUGUCUCACUGAUGCUCAUACAGUCCCAACAACAAUUCAAACAGAAUGCAAAUCCAGAACAAAGUGAAAACUGAAAAAAAGGCAACACAAGAUGCAACAUUUGACAAAGUUAGUGUAAGAUACUAAUGAAAUAUUAGAACCCCAAAUGAGGACAGCGCCUGAGAAAUGAGGCCACAGGAGGAGUUAGGAAGGUUAGUAACUGAUGAGAAAAAUCAACGAGAACAAUAAUAUGCUAAGUGUCUCAAGAAUAAUUAUUUGAUUAUCGGUGACUAAUGGGG